CAGUGAAAUAAAUCCUUGCGGAUUUGUGAAAUAUGCUGAAGCAUGUGAAAUAUGGCUUCGCCAUGUGAAAUGCGCU
rnacentral:sRNA from 1 species